UAGAGUUUGAUCAUGGCUCAGAUUGAACGCUGGCGGCAGGCCUAACACAUGCAAGUCGAGCGGAAACGACAUUAUUGAAUCUUCGGAGGAUUUAAUGGGCGUCGAGCGGCGGACGGGUGAGUAAUGCCUAGGAAAUUGCCUUGAUGUGGGGGAUAACCAUUGGAAACGAUGGCUAAUACCGCAUAAUGCCUACGGGCCAAAGAGGGGGACCUUCGGGCCUCUCGCGUCAAGAUAUGCCUAGGUGGGAUUAGCUAGUUGGUGAGGUAAUGGCUCACCAAGGCGACGAUCCCUAGCUGGUCUGAGAGGAUGAUCAGCCACACUGGAACUGAGACACGGUCCAGACUCCUACGGGAGGCAGCAGUGGGGAAUAUUGCACAAUGGGCGAAAGCCUGAUGCAGCCAUGCCGCGUGUAUGAAGAAGGCCUUCGGGUUGUAAAGUACUUUCAGUUGUGAGGAAGGGUGUGUAGUUAAUAGCUGCGCAUCUUGACGUUAGCAACAGAAGAAGCACCGGCUAACUCCGUGCCAGCAGCCGCGGUAAUACGGAGGGUGCGAGCGUUAAUCGGAAUUACUGGGCGUAAAGCGCAUGCAGGUGGUUCAUUAAGUCAGAUGUGAAAGCCCGGGGCUCAACCUCGGAACUGCAUUUGAAGCUGGUGAACUAGAGUGCUGUAGAGGGGGGUAGAAUUUCA
rnacentral:rRNA from 1 species